rnacentral:tRNA from 1 species
GUCCCCGUAGCUCAGCUGGAUAGAGCGUUCGCCUCCUAAGCGAAAGGCCGCGCGUUCGAAUCGCGCCGGGGACGCCA